UCAUUGAAUAGAUCAUCCCUUGAUAUAAUCUCGUUCCAUUCUAACAAAUACCAUCCACUGUGCUGCCAUUGCUGAAGAAGAAACGGCUCCAUUUAACUCAGCCUCCUCCACCUUGGUGUUCAAAAAUCUGCCUACACGCCCAUCAAGUUCAACCACAUGAUGGUCUGCUCGCGUCUUCCUUUUCAGCACCUGCAUCCUCAGAAGAUUGCUCUCCAGCGUGUGGAAGGUGUUCGACGUAUUGUUUGCAAGGGCUGCUGCUGCAAUUUUUGGUUCUCCAUUGCUUCACAAGUCUUCUGGCAUAGCUAGACAACUCCUCAAUCCGACUACCUGGGAUGAACUGCGUGCUCUCGAGUCCUCCGACGCCCUCAUUCCACCUCCCCCAUGCCAGGUUCUCCCUGCCAUCCAUCACACAUACGCCAUCAGCUUCUGCUCUUAAUUUUCAAAGGUGAAGCCCCUAUUCUUCCUAGAAUGUGAUUUCCGCAGGAUGAAUUUGUCGCCCCCGUGCUGUCUUUAGGUCCAUGCCACUUUCCUUUUCUGACCUUAAUCUCAAGAUAAGGAUGCCCCAUUUAUUCAAUCUUAUAAUUCGUGCAUCUGGAGUAGUUAAGAUUUAAUUGCAUGUUAGAUACUUGAUGUAAUUCCUAUGUGAAUAGACGUGUCGUGCAAGGUACAACUUUGGGGAAGAUCCUUGCUGGCUCCAGUUCUGUUGCACAAUCUAAAACAUUAAAGCGGAGCUACCUGGGAGACCAACGGGAGUGGACACGUCGCCCCGAUUGUUUCUCCUGCCAUCAGCUCCAGACUGCAUGCUCACCGUGAAAACAAUACAAAUUACUCCAAUAUUUCCAUCUUAUUGCACUUGCACACCCUGAUAAGUAUCUCAGUUCACACUCAAAUAUGUAAUUGUCCUCUCCCUGCUUUCUUUUCAUAUAUGAUUUCUUCAUCUUAUUGCAUAUUCUGCUGAGUAUCUCAGUUGGUACUUCUGAAUACCAGGAGUUUCACAUACAUGGUCUUUACAUGGUGGUGAGUUGUGAGGAUUCCCUUCAUGUUUGUGUUCACAAUUACAAACUGGGAUGCUGUUUUUAUCUGAUGAAAAUCAUAGCUGAAACCAAAAGCCUCCCCGUCUCUUCAAUACUCAUAGGUAUGUCUGUUCUAUGACUACACAGUUGGAAGAACACCUUAUUAGCAUUCCCUUGCAAAAUUGUUAGGUGAAAUUCUAGGUACAUAUCAUUGGAUUGACUGCAUCAAAUUUGUUAUUGUUCUACAGACAUGCUGUUUCAUAAAUAUGAAAUGUCUGCUCCAACAGAUCCCAAUUUUACAUUGUACAAUGUUUUUUUCUCUUCCUAUAAAAGUUUAACUAUAAUUAAUUUCAGUAGUUGCUUUGCAAGACAGGCCAUGCUCGCAGAUAUCUGAAGUGGAUUGAACAUCAUACGCACCAUUGUUAUGUUGAUAUUUUGAACAGUCUUCCUUCCAUGUCAGGUCAUUCUUGGGUAAAAAGUGCAGUUAUUCCAUAUACAGUUUCAUUUUCUCUCUUGGAAACAACCAAAUUUUCAGGUAAGACUAAAUGUAGGUGAUGCCAAUGCAACCCAAUUAAUUUGAAGGCUUCACCUAACUUAGAUUUGGCCAUGUAUUUUACAACUAAUUGCCGUACGUAUCAUAUGUGAAUACUAAAUGCAAUUUAGUACAUGUCAACAUACCCUUAGUACAGAAAAUUUCAAUUUUUUUGUUGGCUAAAUAUUCCUGCAACAACGUGCGGGAUGUCAUCUAAUUACAUGAUGUAAUCAUUCCCUGGAACAAAUUACACAAGUUUGAUCCCUAACUGCUACUAAAACAAAGCGUAGAUGGUUUCUGAUGAUAAUCACACACGCGCCUAAAGAACAUGAUUUUUUUUAGCCAGAUAGCUUUGAAAAAUCAGAAAUGAUCAGAGAUAUGAUUCGGAAACCCUCCACGAUUUUGUCUCUUGGACUACAACACCCUAUUUUUUAUAUUCUGUAAUGGUAACAUAUAAUUUAACGGGAAACAAUGAAACAUGUUCUAGGACGCGAUGGCAAAACUAAAAUAUAAAAUGGGAAUUCAAGGCAUUGUCAGGGAAAAAAACGUCUCCUGAAGACUUGACUCAGACCGGACCUCACCGAUUAGCAAAAACUGAAAUGACCAUUACAGUUUGAUUGAUGGUAUUUAAGCAAGAAAAGUUAGCUGUCAUGCUUGGCUGGUCUAUUAAGGGCCUCUUUAAUUCAGAGAAAUUUUAUAGGAAUUUUGAAGGAUUCUACAACUCGUUUGAUUUACAGGAUCUGAAACGGUACGAAUUUUUUCCCGCAAAAAAAAAGAAACGGUAUGAUUUUUUUCGAUGGAUUACUUCGCAUGGAAUUCCGAAAAAAAAAGAUGUGGUCCAACCUCAUCCAAAAUAUUCUUUGUUUCCUCAAAGAACUAUAGCAAGUAUAACUAAUCCUUCAAACAAGUUCAUGUAUUUUCCCUCUGGUACAAUCAAACAGUUUAUGUUACACAUUUAUAUGUUUUGAAGUUCGGUGGGAUUCAACAUAUCAUGACAUUCAAUUUCGAUGGUUUCUUAUUUCUAGUUUUUGAAAUGCUGCGGAUCAAAAGGACCGUAAGGGUUGUCAAAUUUCUUUUUCGAAAAGGGGAAACGAUCCCCGGCCUCUGCAUCAAUUGAUGCACAUAGCAGCCAUUUUUAUUGCAAAGUGAUCAAAAGUCACACAUUUUACUGAUCAACGAUAGUCGAUACAAAAAUAAGUCAACGGAAUAGCUCAAACAAGACGAAAUUAUGCAUUUAGGCAUCCAGUACACCGACAGCCAGCCCGGUUGAAGAUAUCCCGAACGACCAUAUCCAGCCGGUUGCAUCCGGUAGCCAAAGGCACCAAAAUAGACCCUACAUUUGCAGAGAUCUUGCCACACUUUCUGAAUCACGUUAUCGCCAUGAACCAAACAGGUGACUAAUACAAUGUCAAGCCCGGUACACUUUAUAUCCUGACGUGACAACUUUACUGUACCGAUCAAAGUUCGCGGAUAACCACUUUAGGCAGAGAAUUGGAGCAAACCCUUAACGCAUCCAUAUACAAAGACCACUAGCGUCCUCCAGUACGUCAUUAACAUCAGGUUGAAACUUCAAAGAUGGAAAACUUCCAUAACCCAUUGUUUGUCAGAACAUCAAUCGAUGCCCAUGUCUCGGUCUUCUGAAGCCUUGCCGUGGGGUGCUUCAGAGGUCAACAACCAACUUGCCAAAACAAGCACGGGUCGACACUUCGAAAUAGCCUAGGCGCCUAGCAAUGUGCUGCUAGUCCAACUAUACGAAUUAAAAAACCAUGUAGAUAGAUUAUGUUUUCUCAACACAGAAGAUAAUGUAACCAAUAUUAGGGAGCUGCUAAUUGGGGGAAGUCCGCCCAAUUUCAACCUGGCGGACGAAUUCGGACAUUUUUUGUCAUUUUUGGCAACUUUUUAUUUAUUUUUCUCACUGGCUUUUAGUUUCUUCAACUUUUUAUUUUUAUUUUUGAGCUUUUACUUUUAAUUUGAAGGUUUUAAGGUUUUAAUUUUGAGCUUAGAGACAUGUUUCGUCCGCCCAUCCCAACUCGGCAGAUGAGUGUGAAAGAGAGUUUGCGCUAUUAUUAUUGCCAACAUGAACUCACGCACAUUGUUUAUUUUUUUUUCUUCAGCUCCUCCAUUGCUCCAGAAUUUAUCAUUUAUUGGCCAUGCACCUCAUUUUAUUCCUUUAUCUCUAUUAAUUAAUCUGAAAUUCUUGUACUCAUUGCAUGUGAAUCAUUCACAGAUAAUUACUUCCUCUGAUAAUUUGAACUAAAACGACGACGAGAAUUUAGGAUCGGAGAGAGUACAUUCUACCUGCGAGAAAAUUAUUACAUUCCUGUUUUCCAAAUCUUCAUCUUUGUUUUCAGAUCUUAGUAGAACGGUUGACACAGAGAAGGCGAGAGGCUAGGCUAAAUAGAUUUCGGAGCGGAGAAGGAAGAUGGUAAGCAGUGACGGACGAGACGAACAGCGGGGCGGCAUGCAGUCAGGCAUGGAGCUGAGGUUAGGUCCAGGAAUCAAGGAGAAGAGCUGAAUGAAAUACUGAGAGAAGCUAAGUGUUGCAAGUAACAGGGUGUUGUUUUGAAAUUGACUUUGAAAACAAAGUUAAUUGGGAAUUCUUAUUCCACUGUGCUCAGAUGAAAGGAUUCAAUGACAGGUGGAUUGUAUGGAUAAGAUCUAUUGUGACUGAGGGGACUUUGAGUGUGAAAGUCAAUGACACUCUGGGGCCAUACUUCGGAGUCAUAAAGGGGUUAGACAGGAGGACCCACUGUCACCUUUCCUGUUUAACCUAGCUGUUGAGUGUCUUGCAAAAAUGAUACAUAAAGCACAACAGUCAGGGAGUGUGACGGGCCUGGUGCCACACCUGGUAGACAAAGGGGUAGCAAUACUGUAAUAUGCUGAUGACACCAUACUGUUUGUCAGAGAUAAUCUUGAAGAUGACAGAAACCUCAAACUCA